rnacentral:rRNA from 1 species
CUCGUAGUUGAACUUCGGCGCCUGAUGGCCGGUCCGCCUUCUUGGUGUGUACUUGCUCAUCGGGCGCUUACCUCCUGGUGAACUCUGAUGUCCUUUAUUGGGUGUCAGAGCAAACCAGGACGUUUACUUUGAAAAAAUUAGAGUGUUCAAAGCAGGCCUACGCCCGAAUACAUUAGCAUGGAAUAAUAGAAUAGGACGCGCGUUCCCAUUUUGUUGGUUUCUGAGAUCGCCGUAAUGAUUAAUAGGGAUAGUUGGGGGCAUUUGUAUUCCGUCGUCAGAGGUGAAAUUCUUGGAUUGCCGGAAGACAAACUACUGCGAAAGCAUUUGCCAAGGAUGUUUUCAUUGAUCAAGAACGAAGGAAGGGGGAUCGAAAACGAUCAGAUACCGUUGUAGUCUCUUCUGUAAACUAUGCCAAUUGGGGAUUAGCACAGGAUUUUCAAUGACUGUGUUAGCACCUGAAGAGAAAUCUUUAAAUGAGGUUCGGGGGGGAGUAUGGUCGCAAGGCUGAAACUUAAAGGAAUUGACGGAAGGGCACCACCAGGUGUGGAGCCUGCGGCUUAAUUUGACUCAACACGGGGAAACUCACCAGGUCCAGACACAAUAAGGAUUGACAGAUUGAGAG